CGAACGCUGGCGGCGUGCUUAACACAUGCAAGUCGAACGCUGAAGCUCAGCUUUUGUUGGGUGGAUGAGUGGCGAACGGGUGAGUAACACGUGAGUAACCUGCCCCCUUCUUUGGGAUAACGCCCGGAAACGGGUGCUAAUACUGGAUAUUCACUGGUCUUCGCAUGGGGGUUGGUGGAAAGGGUUUUUCUGGUGGGGGAUGGGCUCGCGGCCUAUCAGCUUGUUGGUGGGGUGAUGGCCUACCAAGGCUUUGACGGGUAGCCGGCCUGAGAGGGUGACCGGUCACAUUGGGACUGAGAUACGGCCCAGACUCCUACGGGAGGCAGCAGUGGGGAAUAUUGCACAAUGGGCGCAAGCCUGAUGCAGCGACGCCGCGUGAGGGAUGGAGGCCUUCGGGUUGUGAACCUCUUUCGCUCAUGGUCAAGCCGCAACAAUGGUUGUGGUGAGGGUAGUGGGUAAAGAAGCGCCGGCUAACUACGUG
rnacentral:rRNA from 1 species